rnacentral:rRNA from 1 species
CCUACGGGAGGCUGCAGUGAGGAAUCUUGGUCAAUGGACGCAAGUCUGAACCAGCAACGCCGCGUGCAGGAAGACGGCCCUAUGAGUUGUAAACUGCUUUUGUACGAGGGUAAAUCCCGAUACGUGUCUCGGGUCGUAAGUACCGUAUGAAUCCGGAUCGGCUAACUCCGUUCCAGCAGCCCCGGUAAUACGGAGGGUUCAAGCGUUAUCCGGAUUUAUUGGGUUUAAGGGGGGCGUAGGCGGUUCGAUAAGUUAGAGGUGAAAUCCCGGGGCUCAACUCCGGCAGUGCCGCGGAUACUGUCGGGCUUGAGUUUAGAUGCGGUAGGCGGAAUGUAUGGUGUAGCGGUGAAAUGCAUAGAGAUCAUACAGAACACCGAUUGCGAAGGCAGCUUACCGGACUACGACUGACGUUGAGGCACGAAAGCGUGGGGAGCAAACAGGAUUAGAUACCCUUGUAGUC